ACGGGUGAGUAACACGUGGGUGACCUGCCUUCGAGUGGGGGAUAACGUUUCGAAAGGAACGCUAAUACCGCAUAACAUCCUGCUCUUGAACGAGCGGAGAUCAAAGCCGGGGACCGCAAGGCCUGGCGCUUGGAGAGGGGCCCGCGCCGGAUUAGCUAGUUGGUGAGGUAACGGCCCACCAAGGCGACGAUCCGUAGCCGGCCUGAGAGGGCGGACGGCCACACUGGGACUGAGACACGGCCCAGACUCCUACGGGAGGCAGCAGUGGGGAAUUGUUCGCAAUGGACGCAAGUCUGACGACGCAACGCCGCGUGGAGGACGAAGAUCUUCGGAUCGUAAACUCCUGUCGAGUGGGACGAACGGCCCGGGACCUAACACGUUCCGGGAGUGACGGUACCACUAAAGGAAGCCCCGGCUAACUCCGUGCCAGCAGCCGCGGUAAUACGGGGGGGGCCAGCGUUGUUCGGAAUUACUGGGCGUAAAGGGCGCGUAGGCGGCCUUCUAAGUCAGACGUGAAAUCCCUCGGCUCAACCGGGGAACUGCGUCUGAUACUGGAAGGCUUGAAUUCGGGAGAGGGAUGCGGA
rnacentral:rRNA from 1 species